rnacentral:rRNA from 1 species
UACAUGCAAGUCGAGCGGACAGAAGGGAGCUUGCUCCCGGCAUGUUAGCGGCGGACGGGUGAGUAACACGUGGGUAACCUGCCUGUAAGACUGGGAUAACUCCGGGAAACCGGAGCUAAUACCGGAUAGUUCCUUGAACCGCAUGGUUCAAGGAUGAAAGACGGUUUCGGCUGUCACUUACAGAUGGACCCGCGGCGCAUUAGCUAGUUGGUGAGGUAACGGCUCACCAAGGCGACGAUGCGUAGCCGACCUGAGAGGGUGAUCGGCCACACUGGGACUGAGACACGGCCCAGACUCCUACGGGAGGCAGCAGUAGGGAAUCUUCCGCAAUGGACGAAAGUCUGACGGAGCAACGCCGCGUGAGUGAUGAAGGUUUUCGGAUCGUAAAGCUCUGUUGUUAGGGAAGAACAAGUGCAAGAGUAACUGCUUGCACCUUGACGGUACCUAACCAGAAAGCCACGGCUAACUACGUGCCAGCAGCCGCGGUAAUACGUAGGUGGCAAGCGUGGGCCGGAAUUAUUGGGCGUAAAGGGCUCGCAGGCGGUUUCUUAAGUCUGAUGUGAAAGCCCCCGGCUCAACCGGGGAGGGUCAUUGGAAACUGGGAAACUUGAGUGCAGAAGAGGAGAGUGGAAAUUCCACGUGUAGCGGUGAAAUGCGUAGAAGAUGUGGAAGGAACACCCAGUGGCGAACGCGACUCUCUGGUCUGUAACUGAACGCUGACGAUCGAAAAGCGAUAGGGAGCGAACAGAAUUAGAAUACCC